GAGAUGGAUUGGUGCCUUCGGGAACGUCUGACACAGGUGCUGCAUGGCUGUCGUCAGCUCGUGUCGUGAGAUGUUGGGUUAAGUCCCGUAACGAGCGCAACCCUUGUCCUUAGUUACCAGCACGUUAUGGUGGGCGACUCUAAGGAGACUGCCGGUGACAAACCGGAAGGAAGGUGGGGGAGUGACGUCAAGUCAUCAUGGCCCUUACGGCCUGGGCGUACACACGUGCUACAAUGGUCGGUACAAAGGGUUGCCAAGCCGCGAGGUGGAGCUAAUCCCAUAAAACCGAUCGUAGUCCGGAUCGCAGUCUGCAACUCGACUGCGUGAAGUCGGAAUCGCUAGUAAUCGUGAAUCAGAAUGUCACGGUGAAUACGUUCCCGGGCCUU
rnacentral:rRNA from 1 species